UAGCCGUUCUUCGUUCUGCUUUUCUCCACUGUGGUCGGUAGUUUUUUCACCGAGGUAAUUUUUCCGAUAAUCAACUCAUCUAGGUUCUCUAACACGCUUCUUUCUUCGUAUUUUAGGCCCCCUAAACCGGUUGAAGAAUAAUCAACUCAUCACAGAUUGAUUUCUUAUUUUUCAUACUUCACUAGUUUUUUCUUUUUUUUUAUUUGGUUUUUCCGAUAAUCAACUCAUCACAGAUUGAUUUCACAGAUUUCUUCAAACGCAUCCGAAUAUUGCUGAAGAAGUUUGGGUUCAUAUGGGUGAUUUUCGAUUUUGGUUUCGAAGUAGUUCGUAGUUUGGCCGGGCUGAUUCUGUUCCGGCCGAACGAUUCCGGUGUUGCAGCUGGUUGACAGUUGGCUGUCGAUUAUCCCGGUUCUGCUACACCACGAUUUAAGGUGAGUUCUCCAAUGGGUUUAAGCUCGUCUUUUAGAUUACAGAUUAAGGAUUGAGAAAGGUAGCAUUUAUUUGGAAAAAAAUAUUGUAUCUUGUUUUUUUGGGAAAAAAUAGUACAUUACCUCAGUGUUGGUUGGAAAAUAACCAUUAUUUGGAGAAAAAAUAACCAAUUAGUGAAUUAGAAUUAGUUAAUAUUAAAGUCAAUUAGUGAAAUAAUAUAUGGUGUUACUCAGUAUAAAUUGUUUGGCCUUAAUAUUGUUUGGCAUAAACAGUAUAUAAAGAAUGCAAUUAAGUUGUUUUUUUUGUAAUAGUUUACGAUAGUUAUUUCAUCUUUGCUUGCUCUAGGAGUUGGUUUAUAUGUUUCAUAUAUUUGAGAGAGGUUACAGGGUCUGGAAUGUGAAAUUUAGUUGUGAAUGUGUUUGAGAGAGGUUGCAUGGUCUGGAAUGUGAAAUUUAGUUGUCAACGAUCCAACGGUCUUUAACUCUAUCCUCGAUUAAAUCGCCGCCAAAAUGCGGACUCACUACGGUGAGACCUUUACGAAUGACGUUGUUAAACGUCGGACCUUCCUACUAAAAAAUCGUUUCAAUGCAUUUGUCAAAUUCAUUGGACUACCCGGUGUCAACUACAACCGUAGGACCGAACGUGUAUCGGUUGACCGGACGUAUGUCACGAGUCCAAAGAACAAAGUAUGUAAACCUAUUUUUAUUGCAUAAAAUGCACGGUAAACUUUUUGUUGUCUUAUUCUAUGAAUAUGCAAAUCAUUUAAUUGUGUGUGAUCCUAUACUUUUCCCUUUCACAAUUAAAAAAAAACGGAACAUGCGUUGCACAACUAUUUCGCUGCUAACGGGUUUCCCUACUACGGCACUUUUGAGUUGGUAUUUGUGGAGAAAGAAGCAGGGACGAUAGAGUUUAGUGAUAAACAAGGGUUCGUAAAAGAUGACCCAAUCACAAUUGACGAAGGAACUCGACCGGGUGUUGAGGGUGUGAACGAUGAAUACGCUAUUGUGCCGUAUGAGGGUGUGAACGAUGUUGAGCCCGUGGGUUACUAUACCGGCGAGACCGACGGGUUCUCGGGGCGUAUAGAUGGUUGACAGCGAGUCAACUAGCUUGGUCAUUGUGAUUUCUGAUAUUUUUAUGACUUUAUUCUCCGUUUACCGUAUUUUUCAUCGUUGUAAUUGUUUUAUUGUCUUCGUGUUUUUUUUUAUUUCAUAGUAAUUGGUUUAUGCAAUUGCGAAAGUAUCGUUGUGCUCGGUCAUUGGUUAUAGUGUGAUCAAUUAUUCAAUUAUAACUUUAAAUUCUAUA